GUUGUUGUUGUUGAGAGUUUUACAGCGUAAAAAAACAUUUUCUGAUGUAAUGGUGCAAUAAUCUCACAGAUUCUCAUACUUCUCAUACAUUUACUCAUGUAAUGGUGCAAUAACCGAUAAGAUUGUUAAGUACUCCCAUAAAACUUGCCUGUGUUCUAAAAAGCAUAAUUGCUGUAAACUACUUGGGUAUUUCCAGCUUGUUAAAAGUAUAUUGUAAUAGCUUCGAACCGACCAGCCGCAAAAUCACCUGCUUUGCUAAAAUUGUUCUUCCCAUGAAGAACUAAGACGACAGGAUAGUAAAUUUCAUUCUUGCGAUACCAGAAACUCCUGCUCGAGAUGACAGUGGAUUGGAAACUGGUCUUACUGGCCACAUUCGUUUUCGCUACCAAUAAGAUCGGUACUUCUACAAUAAUGUGUAAUACGCCAGUUUCAAAAGCCUGCAACAGAAUCUGACCACCUGCACGACUUUUCCAAAGGCCAACUUAAUUUUUGAUGAAUAUGGUAGGAAAAGCCAUUGAAUGUUACCAAUGCCAAUACGCGUCCGGAAACUUUCCUGAAGAUUAUAAUCGGUCCAGGACAAAUUGCCUUAACACCAUCACCAAAAAUUGUUCCAUGACCAACAAUUGUGCUCAUAGAACCGUAUUACAUACAACCCCCACAGAAUUCCAAACCCACACUCAAGAAUGUGGGCAGAGGAUUGUAACUCCUUAUAAUAUGUCGUGUGCACCCUUCCCGCAAGAAGGUUACCGCGGUCAAGCAUGUUUCUGCUUUGGCGAUCUCUGCAACACGAUGGGGAUCCAAACUACCACAGGUACCGGAAAUCCAAAUGCGGGUAAUUCUCAGAUUUUAUUAAAUGGCGAUUUUGACACUACACGUAAAGUGAUCCAUAAGUGAACGUAACCGGAGCACAGAAGACGAGCUCAGCUGCUGUAUCUAAGCUGAAUCUCAUGUGGGCGCUGGUUUUCUGCUUGAUUCAUUACGGCACCAAAAUCAAGAUCCAACAUUUCCCUUCCGCUGUAAGGGAAUCCAUUGGAUGGUGGUGAUGUCCGUGAACAAGCUUUACAUUGAAGAUCAUGACGCGCUUGACCGUGACCAUCCGAAACGCGUAGAACUGCUGAGGACAAUACCACUUGGCAGCCGUCAUUACCCGUUCCAUGACCGAGACGGUACCACGCCGCGACGGCACUCCGGUGGCGGCGACACUGCUGUUCUUUGCCGGGCUGCUUCUCUGUAACACAAUCAAAGUGAAUCAAAGACUUGUGAAAUCAAUAAACAGUGUACAAGAGGUAUACGUCCAGUGCGCACGCAUUGCCAGGACUCACUUCGAACAGAGAAGCGCUUGUACUGCGCAAAAUGCGUAAUUAUUGCUUUACGUAGCUGAUUUAUUGUUAACUUUUUGACUCCUACAUUGUGACAUUCUAGAUCUGUUAUGGCGCGUACUAGUAGUGAGUUUGUGCCAGUAAAGCAGCGGCUGCUACGGUGAAAACAAGUACAUAAAUAUGUCCGGUACAUUGAAAAAAUCAGUACACACCUGUCUGAUAGCCACCUGUUCGUCAUCCGUUGGCUGGCCCGGUCCGUACAUCUCAUCGUGGCGUAGCCGGAUCGAAUCUGCCAGCAUUUGCCGGGAUAUCUUCACAAUGUUUCCAUUCUGUGGAAGUGGAAUAAAGGAGUGGUGGCAAUGGUUUAGACUGUGCGGUUAUUGUCGGUUGAUUACAUUAAUAUUGUGAAAAAAAGCAUUAGGUCAA